GAAUGGGACCUGAAAAUUUGUUCUUGGACAAAAUCAAAGCUGAUAAAUUUGAAGCACUAGCUAUAGUUUUCGCGAUAUCACCAGAUAGUGAAUUGUCCAUGAGCUCAAGCAGGGAAAGGUGCGGUAGGCCCCAGAACCCCGCCGGUACAUCACCAGAUAACUGAUUGUGAGCCAAUCGCUGGCUAUAGUUUUCGCAAUAUCGCCAGAUAGUGAAUUGUCCAUGAGCUCAAGCAGGGAAAGGUGUGGUAGGCCCCAGAACCCCGCCGGUACAUCACCAGAUAACUGAUUGUGAGCCAAUCUCACCCGCAGUAAGCUCCGGCAUUCACUCAAACUCGCCGGAAUUUCCCCAGUAAGUAAGUUAUCUAUCAUCAAAAGCUCC
rnacentral:lncRNA from 1 species